UACGUAGGGUGCGAGCGUUAAUCGGAAUUACUGGGCGUAAAGGGUGCGUAGGCGGCGCGGUAAGUCGGGUGUGAAAUCUUGGAGCUUAACUCCGAAACUGCAUUCGAUACUGCCGUGCUUGAGGACUGGAGAGGAGACUGGAAUUUACGGUGUAGCGGUGAAAUGCGUAGAUAUCGUAAGGAAGACCAGUGGCGAAGGCGGGUCUCUGGACAGGUGGUGACGCUGAGGCACGAAGGCCAGGGGAGCAAACGGG
rnacentral:rRNA from 1 species